rnacentral:rRNA from 1 species
AGAGUUUGAUCAUGGCUCAGGAUGAACGCUAGCGGCAGGCUUAAUACAUGCAAGUCGAGGGGCAGCAGGACUGUAGCAAUACAGUUGCUGGCGACCGGCAAACGGGUGCGGAACACGUACGCAACCUUCCUUUAAGUGAGGGAUAGCCCAGGGAAACUUGGAUUAAUACCUCGUAAUAUUUAAAAGUGGCAUCACUUUUUAAUUAUAGCUCAGGCGCUUAAAGAUGGGCGUGCGACUGAUUAGGUAGUUGGCGGGGUAACGGCCCACCAAGCCUGCGAUCAGUAACUGGUGUGAGAGCACGACCAGUCACACGGGCACUGAGACACGGGCCCGACUCCUACGGGAGGCAGCAGUAAGGAAUAUUGGUCAAUGGACGCAAGUCUGAACCAGCCAUGCCGCGUGGAGGAUGAAGGUCCUCUGGAUUGUAAACUUCUUUUAUCUGGGAAGAAACCCAUAUUUUCUAGUGUGGUUGACGGUACCAGAUGAAUAAGCACCGGCUAACUCCGUGCCAGCCGCCGCGGUAAUAC